rnacentral:lncRNA from 1 species
CGGCAGGCUCUCUCCAAAUGCCUGGAUUCUGCUGGGGGAGUAAGAAGUCAGGAGUAGUUUGUCUGAUGGUAUUGGGAUCUGCUUUGCAAUUGCCAAGCGCUAAGGCACAAGCUGGCAGAUGUGCUGCGGCUCUGCUACGGGCGGCUCUGUCGCCUUCAGUCGCAGGCUGGUUCUUUGGGGGAAAGUUGUAUCCAAUAUUGGUGACUCCCGGGAAUAGUCUGUUUGUGUGCUACUUAAUGGUCUCUAGGCUUCCUUGUCUUGUAGAACCUUGUUAGAAAGGAGCCUUGGUGAUUAAGAGGCUAUGGAGUACACAGCCUUGCUUAGCAGAUGAGCCCUUAUCCAUUUCCCGUUUCCUUAAAAACGGCUAAUUGAUGGAUGCUGCAGAAAACAUGCACUCUGCUAAUAAGAUGCUGAUGACAAAAUAGGUAUCAGGAAAGGCAUUUACUGCUUAUGAGCACCAUCAGCUUUCUUUCGAGUGAGAUUGUGGCUUUGUAGUAAAGUUUUUUUUUAAGUAAUAUGCUAAUAGUUUUAUUCUAAAUCGGCCAGCGCUGAAUAUCUUCAGGAAAAUGGGUUCCAUGAGAAGUGACAUCCUCCUCGAAUCAAAAGAAGAGUUGGGACUUAAACAUAAGCCUAUAAGCACUCAGAUUAUUGAGAAGUAUGCAUAAAAAAUGGACAAGCUGAAGAUAUGGACAAUUUUACUGAUGUUUAAUUGCACAAUUGUUAAAAUUGCAUCACUGCCAUCGAGGUCAAUUUGACUUAAGUAACUCUGUUUAGAAAUAUGAAUUAUGAUAUAAAAACAAUUAAGCAAGCAAUACUUUUAUGUUAUUUAAAACCUUGCUGUAUAGGAAAAGCUACUUUUAGGCCAGGCACAAUGGCUCACACCUGUAAUCCCGGCACUUUGGGAAGCUGAGGUGGGAAGAUCGCUUGAGCUCAGGAGUUUGAGAGCAGCCUGGGCAACAUAGCGAGACCUCAUCUCUACUAAAAAUACAAAAAAUUAGUCAGGCAUGGUGUCGUGCACCUGUAGUCCCAGCUGCUUGGGAGGCUGAGGCAGGAGGAUCACUUGAGCCCAGGAGAUUAAGGCUGCAGUGAGCUGUGAUUCUCAGGAUGAUGGAGUGAGUGAUGGAAUAGGUUGCCAACUGUAGUUACUCCACUCAGCACAGAAUGGCUGCGGGGAAAUAUAAUCAGACAUGCCCAAAGAAGUCUGCUUAGGGUGAAACAAAUACCUUUGAGGUUUAAAUCAGGUAAAGGAAGGAGAGACUGUUUCUACAGGUGUCAUACAAAAAUCAAUACUGAGCCAAGGAUUAUUGGAUCCCAUAGAACCACGGAGACUUGGUAGUGAAAUUCUUCCAAAGGUCAUUCCAUCCGUGCAGGCAGAUGGUGUUCCUAGGUUUGGAAAUAUAAAUCCCAUGGGAAGUCAGCUGAAGACCAUUUUAUGCAUCACUCAUCCUGUUAGAGCCCUGUGCUGUUCUGUCUCUCUAUAAGACUGGCUGAAACCACCACGGUUGUUUACAAUUUAUGCUCUAACUUUGGAUCACCUAGUUAAUACUCUAACUCCGAUUAUUACCAAAGACAAUGUUCUAUAAAAGAUAUUGUCUAUUAGAAGGAUGCUUCUGCAUUAUUAAUAAAAUCACAGGGAAAAUGCAACAUUUUGGAUGUCACAUCUGAUAAGUUGGCAGUUAAAGAACAGAAACAGCAAUAAGACUGCGUGGCUACAUUUUCCCAGUGCCACCAACUGGGAUUUAAGCUGACUAACAUUUUGAAAGCCCAGCCCAUUUCAUUCACAGCAGGAUGGCAGGAAGAUAACACCUGCAAAAGUAUGCCACAGUUAUGUUGGGAAUUUCAAUAUGAUGGAGCUCUGAGUGUACAUGUAUGUGAGGAAAAGGAGGUAAACAAGGAGUUAGAAAGAUGUGAUGAGACCAGGUGGUGAUGGACUGAAUAUAAAGCAAAGACAUCUGGAUUUUUAAUUCUGUAGGGAAUAGCUGACCAAGGUAUAUGAUUACAUGUCUGACCAAUUCCCUCCUCUCUACUUCUGUCUUUACCUUAUCAAGUCCUAAGUCAAAUCCAACCUUUUGCAUUUUUUAGAAAAAAGGUCUCGUUCUGUUUGUUGUCCAGGCUGGAGUGCAGUGGUGCAAUCAUGGCUCACUGCAUUCUCAAACUCUGGGCUCAAGGAUCCUCCUGCCUCAGCUUCCAGAGUAGCUGAGACUACAGGCACCUGCCACCAUGUUCAGCUAAUUAAAAAAAAAAAAAACUUUUUUGUGAGGUCAUUAGAAUAAAUACAACAUUUCUCACAGGCACAGAAUCCUAAGUGCCUGUGCUAUCUUCUUACUAUAGUUAUAGAACCAGCUUAUAUAAUUUGGUUUUGCUUUAAGUAUAAUGUGGCAAUGUGUUCAUAAAAAUUGAAAUACACUUCAUGCUACUAAAAAUGAUAAUUUUCUGAGAAUGGAAAACAAGACUAGCAUGUAUUUACCAAUGUUAUUCAAGAUUGUCUCAAGAAAAGCAUUAUUCAUUUGGAAAAAAUAAUUGAUCACGAGGUAGGCACACUGAAAUACUGUUUUAAGGAACAGGAAAUUUUGCACUAUCUACUUCUCUUAUUUUGAAAGUUCAAGCGCUUGGUAAAGUCACCUUGGAAAAAUGGAGGUGAUUUAUUAAUUUAUUGUUUGUCUGGACUGACAGUGUCUUGACAAAUAAAAAGAUAUCCAUCAGACAUAUCUAUUUCUUUCUCUUAAAGCUAACAAUUUAGUACAAUAGUGGAACGUCUUUGGCCAUCCUGGUCUCCUGUAGGUUUGGCUGUGGAGGAGCAGGUGCGAGCUUCCAAAGUGUCUUUACAAGUGUCGCAGUGGGGCUUCCCUCCCAUGCCUCUGCAGGAGACAGCUCAUCUGUUUAAUCCGUAUGUUUUAGUCAACCUUUCUUAUUAUGCAGACAGGGCUCUGAGCCUCAGCUGGAUUUUUGACUCUCUGAAUGAAUUGAUGGGGCUCUUUGAUCUAAGAAGAGUGAAUAUAAACUAUGACUGUAUACUUGUGUUAUGACAAGAAAGGAAAUAAUAAUUAUCGCUCUUUUAAAAUAUCUGAAGAUUAAAACCUUUGCCUUUCAUUUAAAAACAGCUUUGUAAAUGUGACCAUUGUUUUUAUUGCUAAUAAUAUGUGGGGAAUAGGGAGAGAUUAGUCAAGGGGGACGAAGUUAUAGUUAGAUAGGAGGAAUAAGUUCAAGUGUUCUGUUUGGUUAACAACCUUGUGUUGUAUAUUUCAAAAUAGCUAGAAGAGAGGAUUUUGAAUGUUCUCACCUCAAAGAAAUGACAGAGGUAUGAGGUGAUGGAUAUGCUAAAUACUAAUUUGAUUAUUAUACAAUGUAUACAUGUAUUAAAACAUCACACUGUACUCCAUGAUAGUUAUUACAUGUGAAUUAAAACAACAAUUAAAAAGAAUGAUACAAUUUUUUUUUCUUGCCUCUGUAUCCACCAGAAGUUAGCAUAGGGAGGAAAUUCUAAUUGUGCUACUAUCGCACAGCUUGCAUCUUAUCUCAUGACUGAGAAAUAUUUAAGUGCUGUUCAGCAAGGUAAGCAUGAGAAAGAGAAGAUAAGAAUUCACAUAACUGGCCGGGCGCAGUGGCUCAUGCCUGCAAUCCCAGCACUUUGGGAGGUCGAGGCGGGCGGAUCACGAGGUCAGGAGAUCCAGACCAUCCUGGUUAACACGGUGAAACCCCAUCUCUACUAAAAAUACAAAAAUUAGCCGGGCAUGGUGGUGCGUGCCUGUAGUCCCAGCUACUUGGGAGACUGAAGCAGCAGCAUUUGAGAGCUUAGCAGAAAUGUAGAAUGUCGGGCUCCAUCUCGGACCUACUGAAUCAAAAUCUGCAUUUUAGCAAGAUCUCCAGGUGAUAUACAGGAUCAUUAAAGUUAGAGAAGUCCUGGUAUACAGGAUAAGUCUUACCAAUUGCUGUAUAGACCUAUGUUCACUUCAUGGAUAACAUUUGCUCUAGAAAAGAAAAAUUAACCAGUGGGUGACUGAUCGUACCCGCCAGCUGGCUAAUGUCAUAAUUAACAAAGUUGCUACUACAUCUGCAAAGUUUAAUCGAAAAAUUUGCCAGUGAUAUGAUGGCCUUGUCACAGAGAUCACAAGGGACACGGAGUUGACUUUUGCUCAAGGUGGAACGACAGAGCUGUGUAGGCAAGAUGAGAAAUUGCGAACUUGUUCGGCCAAAGGAGGCUAAUAAUGAAGGGGCCGGGAAGGAGGCCAGUGCUACCAGGGUUAUCUCACAACCUCAGAUGCUGGAUAAGUCGACGGAGGCAGAAUCGCUUUGGGAUGACAUUCAGAAAGCCUGGAGUGAUUACUUGCAAGAGAAAAGCCUACCUAUUCUUUCCAAGGUGCAGGAAUAUUCCCCUGACCUGCUCAUCCAGUGGUCCAGUAAUGAAUUACUGGAGACCUGCCUUAGACAAAGAAUGCACUCGGAGCCCCAACACACCUAAAGCCAUGCUUUGAAGGAUCUGCCAAGCUCACUUUUAAUCAUGAGAAAGAAAUUACCCACACGGAGUCAGCAGAAAAUGAGAAAGUAGAGCUCGUGCUGUGAAUAAUUCCAGCAAGUGCCAAGGGGCUAGUUGAGGAAUGGCUUCAUGAGGAACAUGCUCUAGGGGAACUAUUAAUAGCCCACCAGUCGGGUAGGCAGCAUUCAAUCCUUCUAUGCCUUCUUUCGCCACCUGUUGAGGUCUUUCUUCUGAAACAAAGAAGAAAUAGACAAAUCAGACUUGCCCUCUUGGAAAUGUGGUCCAGAUUUCUCUACUCCCAAGCUCCAAAAAAGGUAUACAUUGGAUGGGCUAGAUCAACUCCUCCUGAGAGCCAUAAAUCCGCCAAGAGUUGUUUUCCAUGUAAGGGUGUGGUACAAUGGGGAACACCUGAUGUUGGAGGAAAGCAGGAGGACUUUAGAGUGGAGUUGCAUUCUAAUCUCUCUGCCGCUUCAACUAUGUGACCUGGGGCAAAUGAUAUAAACUCUAUGAGCCUCUUUCCUUAUCUUUAAAAUGAAGAGAAGUAAUACCUACCUUGUAGGGCUGUUGUGAGGAUUAAAUGAAGUAAUGCAUACAGUGCCUAACAAAGUAUUUAACAUCAUAUUUUUUAAAAGCUCAUGAAAUAUUAGUUUUUCUUCCUUCCCCUCUUUCUAUUUUCUCUCCUGUUCCCUUUUCUCUCCCUCCUCUGCCCUCUCCUUCCUUCAGAUGUUAGUCUAAAACAGCACCUUGGAUCUAAGCAGCACCUUUGAGAAAGAAAAGACUGCUUCAAGAAUGUCUAGUUGCACCUCCUUUCCGUAUGUGGCCUAAAUGCCUAGGUUGGAUCAAUAGUUUAAUUUUUUUAUUGAACUGUUUAAUAUUGACUAUGGACUUACAUUCACUUUUACUGUUUUCUGUAUAUUUACUUUUGCUUGAAGUGUUUUAAUAUUGACUAUUUACC